ACGGCCAUAUCCCGUUGAAACAACGCUUCUCGAACGAUCACCGAAGUUAAACAAUGUUAAGCCUGGUUUGUACGUCGAUAGAUAACCGCUUGGGAAUACCAGGUACUGUA